AUUGAACGCUGGCGGCAGGCCUAACACAUGCAAGUCGAACGAGUGGCGGACGGGUGAGUAAUGUCUGGGAAACUGCCUGAUGGAGGGGGAUAACUACUGGAAACGGUAGCUAAUACCGCAUACCAUCAGAUGUGCCCAGAUGGGAUUAGCUAGUUGGUGGGGUAACGGCUCACCAAGGCGACGAUGCCUAGCUGGUCUGAGAGGCUGACCAGCCACACUGGAACUGAGACACGGUCCAGACUCCUACGGGAGGCAGCAGUAGGGAAUAUUGCGCAAUGGACGAAAGCCUGAUGGAGCCAUGCCGCGUGUAUGAAGAAGGUCUUCGGGUUGUAAAGUACUUUUAGCGGGGAAGCGUUACCCGAAGAGGAAGCACCGGCUAACUCCGUGCCAGCAGCCGCGGUAAUUC
rnacentral:rRNA from 1 species